rnacentral:rRNA from 1 species
AGCAGCCGCGGUAAUUCCAGCUCCAAUAGCGUAUAUUAAAGUUGUUGCAGUUAAAAAGCUCGUAGCUGAAUUUCGGGGUUCUACCGUUGGUCGGGCUUUGUCUGUACUGGCGUGUAGAAUUUCUACCUUCUGGGGAACCAUCAUGUUAUUAAUUUAACGUGGUGGGAAACCAGGACCUUUACCUUGAAAAAAUUAGAGUGUUCAAAGCAGGCUUAUGUCUGAAUACAUUAGCAUGGAAUAAUAGAAUAGGACGGUGGUCCUGUUUUGUUGGUUUCUGAAUCACCGUAAUGAUUAAUAGGGAUAGUUGGGGGCAUUAGUAUUCAAUUGUCAGAGGUGAAAUUCUUGGAG